rnacentral:tRNA from 1 species
GGGCGAGUAGCUCAGUUGGUUAGAGCGCCGGUCUCACAUACCGGAGGUCACCCGUUCAAGUCGGGUUUCGCCCACAA